UAUUCACAAAUCAUUCAGGAACAUGAGAGAACCAGGAAGAACUGUCUCCCAACAGAAAUCAACAAAUUUCUUUAAUUUUUUAAAGGCCAAGUGUGAACUGAAAUAUUAGCUUAGAAUAAGUAGGAGCUCUGACAUGACAGUAGUUCACUUUAACUCAGGAGCUCCUUUCUGCAAGCCUUCACUGGGUGCUAAUGAGGAGGAGUAGGGCAGGAACCUGGCAAGAAGAAAUCCCUCAGUGACACAGGCAUGCAAGAAGUGGUUGAUGGAAUCGUACUGGGUGAUAGCUGUGAAACACUGCCCAGUUCCUCAGACCCUUCUCUUUUAGAGUAAAAGCCAUUAGCCACUGUGGGGAGAGAGAGCAAACCUUCCUGCCUCCAGGGCUCAGGCAAAGAUCCACUGCCUCUGGGGGAGGGGUAAAUGCAAAAACAUUUUUCCCCUUGGGAGAGUUAGAAAACCUCUUGGCCCCAGGAUCCUGCACCAAUACCAAGCAGAGAUCUGCUAUCACUGGAAGAAGUGCAGGAACAUUUCUUCCGUUCAAGGACUGUGAGAAGUACUCUGUCAUGUUUGGCUGGCAUGGGGGAGGAGCUAGAAAUUCUGAGAGGCCCUACCUAAGCCUGAGGACAGACCAGGAGAAACGAACUUGUGCCACUCCCCAUCACCAACUCAGUAUCAAACAAUAAGCAACAGCAGCGCACCAUUUUGGGAGGCCCAAGAUUGUGGGGUGACAGAAUCAGCGAAGUCUCUCCUAAGUGAUCAAUGAAGACAAAUGCUCCAGAAAUACCUAGAGGAAAAGCGGCUGAAAAAAUUAAGAGAGAAACCUCAGCGACGACCAUUUAUAGUGGGUAUUUAUAGACCUGAUAAGCCUAUUAUGCUUUCAUCAAUACCAGCACACCAACCAAAAAAGAUAAUAAAACAGAAAGAAAAGUACCCAAUCAGGGAAGCCCUGCCAAAAAGAUCGAAGAAGAACCAGGCAAGGUCAUUUCUUUUAAAGUUGAUAGUGAAGAAAAUACUUUGGAAUCACAAACCAGUGUGACAAACGGA
rnacentral:lncRNA from 1 species